AACGAACGCUGGCGGCAUGCCUAACACAUGCAAGUCGAACGAGAUCUUCGGGUCUAGUGGCGCACGGGUGCGUAACGCGUGGGAAUCUGCCCUUUGGUUCGGAAUAACAGUUGGAAACGACUGCUAAUACCGGAUGAUGACGAAAGUCCAAAGAUUUAUCGCCAGAGGAUGAGCCCGCGUAGGAUUAGCUAGUUGGUGUGGUAAAGGCGCACCAAGGCGACGAUCCUUAGCUGGUCUGAAAGGAUGAUCAGCCACACUGGGACUGAGACACGGCCCAGACUCCUACGGGAGGCAGCAGUGGGGAAUAUUGGACAAUGGGCGAAAGCCUGAUCCAGCAAUGCCGCGUGAGUGAUGAAGGCCUUAGGGUUGUAAAGCUCUUUUACCCGGGAUGAUAAUGACAGUACCGGGAGAAUAAGCUCCGGCUAACUCCGUGCCAGCAGCCGCCGUAAGAC
rnacentral:rRNA from 1 species